rnacentral:rRNA from 1 species
GAUGAACGCUGGCGGCGUGCCUAAUACAUGCAAGUCGAGCGAAGCGGGGACGGGUGAGUAACACGUGGAUAACCUCCUAUAAGACUGGGAUAACUUCGGGAAACCGGUGCUAAAACGUAUACUUAUAGAUGGAUCUGCGCGGCAUUAGCUAGUUGGUAAGGUAACGGCUUACAAAGGCAAUGAUCCGUAGCUGACCUGAGAGGGGGACCGGCCACACUGGAACUGAGACACGGUCCAGACUCCUACGGUAGGCAGCAGUAGGGAAUCUUCCGCAAUGGGCGAAAGCCUGACGGAGCCACGCCGCGUGAGUGAUGAAGGUCUUCGGAUCGUAAAACUCUUUUAUUAGGGAAGCGGUACCUAAUCAGAAAGCCACGGCUAACUACGUGCCAGCAGCCGCGGUAAUAC